rnacentral:misc_RNA from 1 species
AACCAUAGAAACCUGCGGAGUACCUGCGGAGGGAUCAUUACCGAUUUUGAGUGAGCCCUGGUCUCUGACCAUGAUCUCGCGAAACUUUGUAUUUAAAACCCCACUCUUAUAAUUAAAAUGUUUAUAUUAUGAUAAAAAACAAAGAUAACUUUUAACAAUGGAUCU